AUACGUAGGUGGCAAGCGUUAUCCGGAAUUAUUGGGCGUAAAGAGGGAGCAGGCGGCAGCAAGGGUCUGUGGUGAAAGCCUGAAGCUUAACUUCAGUAAGCCAUAGAAACCAGGCAGCUAGAGUGUAGGAGAGGAUCGUGGAAUUCCAUGUGUAGCGGUGAAAUGCGUAGAUAUAUGGAGGAACACCAGUGGCGAAGGCGACGAUCUGGCCUGCAACUGACGCUCAGUCCCGAAAGCGUGGGGAGCAAAUAGGAUUAGAUACCCUAGUAGUCCACGCCGUAAACGAUGAGUACUAAGUGUUGGAUGUCAAAGUUCAGUGCUGCAGUUAACGCAAUAAGUACUCCGCCUGAGUAGUACGUUCGCAAGAAUGAAACUCAAAGGAAUUGACGGGG
rnacentral:rRNA from 1 species